UACGUAGGGGGCAAGCGUUGUCCGGAAUCAUUGGGCGUAAAGCGCGCGUAGGUGGCUUCGUAAGUCCGUUGUGAAAGUCAAAGGCUCAACCUUUGAAAGCCGAUGGAUACUGUGAAGCUAGAGUACGGAAGAGGCGAGUGGAAUUCCUGGUGUAGCGGUGGAAUGCGCAGAUAUCAGGAAGAACACCCGUGGCGAAGGCGGCUCUCUGGGACGGUACUGACGCUGAGACGCGAAAGCGUGGGGAGCGAACAGG
rnacentral:rRNA from 1 species